GGCGAGAUGGCAAUAUGGUAACGCAAACUGAUUCAUAAUCAGCCACGAGUGCUGUAACACUCGUUAUCGGUUCGACUCCGGUUCUCGCCG
rnacentral:tRNA from 1 species